GCCUGGGUGGCUCAGUCGGUUAAGCAUCCGACUUUGGCUCAGGUCAUGAUCUCGUGGUCCGUGGGUUCGAGCCCCGCGUCGGGCU
rnacentral:tRNA from 1 species